rnacentral:lncRNA from 1 species
UUCUUUUUAUAUUUAUACAUAUGGAGUAAUCAUUUUCCUUCUAAUGCCUUUUUAAAGAGUAGCUACUGUGAAACUCCCUUAAGUUAAAUAAAAUGACUCCAAUUUGGUAUAUAUGAAUUUUCCAAAUCACUUUGAGGUGAAAAGCAUUUAUUCUGUUUUUCCUGCCUGCUAAAGGUACAGCUAUGCAAUGGCCCUACAACUGCUGGGUUUGGAUGGUGGGACUGGGCCCAGUGAUAGGGGUCCUGUCCUGAUGAAGGGGACCUACUUGUCCUUUCUGUAUCUGCGCCACUUGCGAAUCAGGGAGCUGCAGGUAUGUGGAUGGCAUGGCAUGCUGGUUUCAGGUGUCUGGAAUGUUUUGUUGUCUAUCAAGGUGGCUUUCCUGCUAUUCCAGUAGUAAUGCAUUUUUAUACUUUGUUCUUCUGAUUUUUCCACAAAAUCUGGCCUUUCUGGGGGUGGUGUGUUUCUUUUUUGGGAGUGGAGUUGACUUGCCAACUUCCAGGGCCCCAUUCAGUUUUACUCUGUUGUGUGGGGCGAGCAAAGGGUCCUGACCUGAUCUUUCUUUGUUUCAGCGCACCUGUCUAGGAAUUCUGAACUACUUCAGAUCUGUUGAGCGAACACUGACAAUCAACACUUCAGGCCUUACCUUGGUUGCAGGGAGUCUGGUCCCCACCAUAGAAGAUAACUCCUGUGUAAAUAUGGCCAAAGGAGGCUUAGGCACCUUGCAAGGCCUAGGAGCUCACCACUAUGUCCAUGGGACAGCUGCCGAGCACAAGAUCCACUGUGUCCAAUUCAUGGAGUUCUCUGAAGUGGAGAACCAGGAUGACUACUACAGCAUGGACGCUGGCUCCAUCCACACGCAGGACCAGCACGGAGUACAUAUCAUGUACGACGAAGCCUUGAGGGAUCUGAAGGAGCUCGAGGCAGAACUGCUGCUCGUGGCCAGCCAUUACAUUGAGAAAGAAAAAGGUCACAAAGAGGGCAGCAAGUCAAAUCCUGGCCAGGACUGGGGAUGGGCCCAUGCGAGUGUGGACAGAUUUGCUGUGCUGUAUGACAUGUGGACUUGGGAAGCAGCCCUUCUAGAAAACAAGCGCCAGCUUCUUGACAGUUACUUUGAAGCCUACCAGCAUGUGUUGGACCCUGAGGAGAGGUUUGCCUUAGCACAAGUGAUCACCGACAUCAUGCACAGGCACCCAAGGUUUGAUCUGAGCCACCCCUAUUUCAUUAAGGCCUACCGAGAUGAAUGCACCUGCCUGAGGCUUCACUUGCAGCUAGUGAAGGGCAUCCUCAAUCAGCACAUAGAGCGUCAGCGGGAGUAUGUCCAGAGGCUUUGGCAAGAAGGCCGUCCAGAUGAUAGCAGUAACUUUGGACUUCCCCUUAACAUCAUUUGCAAGCAGCUUAUUUCCAUCAACAAUAGCUGCUGUUUUCAGCUAAAGUAA